GACGAACGCUGGCGGCGUGCCUAACACAUGCAAGUCGAACGGAGAUGUUAAGGAAGUUUUACUGAAUUAAUGUCUUAGUGGCGGACGGGUGAGUAACGCGUGGGCAACCUACCCAUAAGCGGGGGAUAACAGUUGGAAACGACUGCUAAUACCGCAUAAGCUAUUAAGGUCGCAUGACCUAAAUAGUAAAGGUGGCAUUUUAACAAUGCUAUCACUUAUGGAUGGGCCCGCGUCUGAUUAGCUAGUUGGUGGGGUAGUGGCCUACCAAGGCAACGAUCAGUAGCCGGCCUGAGAGGGUGGACGGCCACACUGGGACUGAGACACGGCCCAGACUCCUACGGGAGGCAGCAGUGGGGAAUAUUGCGCAAUGGGGGAAACCCUGACGCAGCGACGCCGCGUGAGCGAAGAAGGCCUUAGGGUCGUAAAGCUCUGUUGUAAGGGACGAAUGUUUGUCUGGCGAACAGUCAGAUAAAGUGACGGUACCUUACCAGCAAGCCCCGGCUAACUACGUGCC
rnacentral:rRNA from 1 species